GGAAAUAUUCCUACCGCGUCUAUAAUGGAAGCAUUUUCACUUUCUUUACCCCCGUGCCUGUUCAGAUGGUCAAACAACAAGCCUACCCUACACUGCUGGACAGUUACUGUUCAGCCACACCCCCACCACCCCGAAAGAAGUUGACUUCAUAAUUUCCACACUAAAAUUGUUCAUCAGCCCCAGGAGAAAGCCAGCUAGGCAGGAGCUAGAGAAAUCGGGAUGGAGAAAAUGGGUGGAAAGCAAAGGUCCUGUUUCUUCAAUUGUCAAUGACAACCGCAGUCUCGGCUGGAGGAGAGGUGAGGCUCACACCCAGCAGUCCUGGACCAUUUCCCUAGCAACGGGAGGAGAAAGGCAGCUUAGACACUCGCGAGCCCCGGCGUUCUCUUGGAACGUGCCCUGGAUCCUUAACGUGGCAGCAGUUCGGCAUCUUCCCGUGGCUCCGUCAGCAGCCAAAAGGAGAAAGGUCCAUCGGAAAAAUGGCAUAUUACAAAUUUUGCUUUGGGAAGCAGAGCUCGGUUCAGACCAUUGUCAAAGGGAAGAGAGGGGGAGGCGGUUCUUAAAGCAGCCGCGGUCCCUUUGCCGCCCAGCAGUGGCAGCCGCCGCCGCCGCCGCUUUCGCGUGCAGCAGGAGCCCUGGGGCGGAGAGAUGGUAAUCCGGGACUGGAUCUGACUUUCUGAAACUUAAAGUAGCACAACUUCUCCCCGUGGUAUCCUGGGCCACCCAGAGAGGGUGAAGAAAGGGUCCCUCCAAACACGAACUUUGGAGUGAAGUGUGGGAAGUACCUAUCUAGAAGGGACAUUCGCCACCCAAUACCCCACACGGGCCCCCUAUGGAGUUUAUGGUAAAUGCUGGGAGUUUGAUGGUUAAAAGAAAGUGAGUCCCCUGGGGAUGCUAGAAGCAGGACAGGUCUUCUUUGGGUAGCCAGCCUACUUCUGUCCUAGGGUGUAUCCUUUCAUUUAAAUGAGGUGCUUCUUUUCUGGGAAGGUAAGCAGACACACACACACACACACACACAUACACACACACUCACACACACUUCACCCACCUCCGAAGACACCCCCGCCCCAUCAUCGCGCGCUGCCUCCGCCCGCGGCAACAAUUUUUUUUCCUUUCAGUCCCUCUGCGAUUCAUCUGCUUGCAUCAGUUGGCCGACAGAACCAACCUGCUGGGAACGAGUGAGGAUGCUACAGCAUCUUCUCACUUGCCUAAUGCAAGCCUAGGAUACUCCUCCUUCUGUGUCUCCUCCCCUCCUCCUCCUUGGCAAUCUCCACCUCCUCUUCCUCUGGAACAAGGGCUUCCCCUGGAAGCUGCUGCAGUGGUUUCCACCGGCCCUUAAAUAAAUUCUGAAGUAAUCA